rnacentral:rRNA from 1 species
CCAGACUCCUACGGGAGGCAGCAGUGGGGGAUAUUGCACAAUGGGGGGAACCCUGAUGCAGCGACGCCGCGUGGGUGAAGGAGCGUUUCGGCGCGUAAAGCCCUAUCGGCAGGGAAGAAGGAGGACGGUACCUGAAUAAGAAGCCCCGGCUAACUACGUGCCAGCAGCCGCGGGAAUACGUAGGGGGCAAGCGUUAUCCGGAUUUACUGGGGGUAAAGGGGGCGCAGACGGCAGCGCAAGCCAGGAGUGAAAGCCCGGGGCCCAACCCCGGGACUGCUCUUGGAACGGCGCGGCUGGAGUGCAGGAGGGGCAGGCGAAAUUCCUGGUGUAGCGGUGAAAUGCGUA